GACAGAGGAUGCAAGUGUUAUCCGGAAUGAUUGGGCGUAAAGCGUCUGUAGGUGGCUUUUCAAGUCCGUCGUCAAAUCCCAGGGCUCAACCCUGGACAGGCGGUGGGAACUACUAAGCUGGAGUACGGUAGGGGCAGAGGGAAUUUCUGGUGGAGUGGUGAAAUGCAUUGAGAUCGGAAAGAACACCAACGGCGAAAGCACUCUGCUGGGCCGAUACUGACGCUGAGGCGCGAAAGCUAGGGGAGCAAACGGG
rnacentral:rRNA from 1 species